GUACAAAGAAGAAUAUUUUAAUUAAUUGAUUGAAGUAAAAAGGGAUUAGAAAUUAAAUCAUCUACCCAUAAUAUUGGGCCAAUUCCCUUCUCCCCUUAACAAAAAUCAGCAGCCCAUAACCCCUCAGCCCAAUAUCCACUUACCCGGCCCAACACCUAAAUUAAAAACCCCUAACUCUUUCUACUCUAAUCAGAACCUAACAGCCCUAACCAAAUCCCUACACUCCUCUUCAACCAAACAGCCCUAACCGAACGACGCCAUCUCCCAUCACCGCCGGUUCCAUCGACGGACCAGCGUACAAAAGCCAUCCUUGACGCCACCGCCAUCACGUCCCUUCAAUCCCCUCUCCCUCCCUACGAUACUAUGGAGCCAUUAAUGCUCUGCAAACUAGCCUGUUCAACCUCCAAACAGGGAAAACGUGAGAAUCUUGCGAAUACAAGAACGAUUGAAUGGAUAAAAAACCUCACCCUACCUUCAGAGGUAGGUGUGCUGAAAAAUCUUUCGGAUUUUCGGUUUCAACAGUCUCAACCUUUCAAAUCAUCUCUGAAAAAAGUUCUCGGCUGAGCAAAGACCACUUCAAGCGGAUUCCGAGACUUGACGACGAUAAUAGCCUCAGUUCGUUGUUACAGAGAAGGUAAUCACACUCGUCCUCUCUUCGUCUUUCAUUUUAUAAGAAGUAGAAAUGUAGUCGUUCAAGUAUUUCUCGUCGUUUGCUUGGUUUGGUUGGCUGGAAUGUGUUCUCUCUUCGUUUGUUGUAAAUUAGUGUAAGGCGACUAAUUUCGUCGAAUAUGUGUUUAACCUCGUCGCUUGGCUAACUCUAUGUUUCAGUCAUUUUUUUUUUAGUCCGUGACGUUCCUAUUUCUAACAUAAAUCAGUGAAAAUAAAAUGACCUAUAGAAACCAUGAAUUUAACAAGGGAAACUACUGAUUUGUGAGAGUGUAAUAUGAGCUUCUAUGCAGAUUUGGUAUUCCCUUUGUCGUUAUCCUCUCGUAUGAUCAAGUAAAUAUAUAUUUAAAAAAAAAAAAAAAGACAGUUCUACUUCUUUUCCCAUAGAAAUUUGUAAUGUUAUCAUGGUUAAGGUGAUGGGAUAAUUCUUGUUAAGUAUAUUUUGAGUUGGAAUCUAGACAUAUAUGAAAACAUCUCCUCAUUUCAUUCUCGGUUUACAGAAUUAACAUGUAGUCAUUUGAUUAUCUGGGCUGGUUCAUUUUUUUGAGUUCUGUACAUUUUUGGGUCUGUUUUCGUUAAAACAAAAUAGCAGAUGAUCCAUCCUGAACGUCAGCAUGUGAAAGGCUAAUAAAGACUAAGGGCGUUUAGGAAGGAAACCACUGACUUAUAUAAAUUUUCAUUAGUUGAAACUUCUAGUUGUUGAAGUAACUUUAUCGCUUUUGUAUAUCUUCUUUCUUCAAAUACUCUUAAGGACUGUUAUGCCGUGACUUUGUCUAGAAACCUAUAUGUGAAUAUAUGAUGCCUUAUAACUGAAAAGAAAAGGUUAUUAAGUUUGAUCAAAUAAAAGGGUGAUGUUUUGUUCGAGAGAAAAAGUUAUUAUUUUUAAGGAAAAGUUACUGUUUUGAUAUAAAAAGAAAGCUACUGUUUUUUUAACUAAAACAGCUACUGUUUUUGGGUUAAAAAGUCACUGUUUUGGUUGGGGAAAAUUACUGGUUUAAAAAAAAAAUCUAAAAAUUGUUUGCUUGUCGAUUUACUUGUGUGAAUGAAACAUCAGUACUAGAAUAUAGUAACUAUCUUGGUGUUCUUAUGAGUUGAUGAUGCAAACCUGUCUAAAGGCAAAAUUUGCAAAGAUUUGUGAGAACUUAGGCUUUUUUUUUUCUUUAAAAAGUAUAGGAGAUAACAUGAAGUACUAUAUCUUUUUAUAAGCUUUGUUUUACAAACUGAACUGGCUUCUUGCUAAAAUUAUUUUUUAAAAGAAAUCCAAAACUGCUAAGGGAUGUAUUCGAGACUAAGUUACUAUUGCGCCUUUUCUUCUGAAACUAACAAAUGGGCAGGAUAGUAAAAUGGUCGUGCACUACUUAAGUUUGUGGAAAACUAAUCUUAAAUUGAUAUUGUUAUGUUAGAAGGUAGAGCAAUAAGGUUUUGGUGUGAAUUUGGAACAAUUUAUAUCAAACAUGUAAACACCCUCGUCUCUCAUUUCGUUUCGGUUUGCAGAAUUAAGAUAUAAUCAUUUGAGUAUUUUCGACAUUUUACACAAGUCUCUGCCAAGUGUAUGCACAAAUCGGUUAUUUUGCCUCUAUUUUUUAUGAGUCAGUUUAUAAAAGGCUAACAUAGACUAUGGGCUUGUUAUGAUAAAUAAGUGAUUUGCUAGAAUAAAAAGAAGAAGAAAAUAGCUGUGUAUUAUUGAACUUGAGACUGUUUACUCUUUUGAGAAUGCAUGAGAUAAAUUGAAGUAUAAAAUUGUCUUAAGUCAAACCCAGCUGUGACUUGGAUCUGCUCUUGAACUAUCUCCCCUAAAGUAGCUAAAAUGCUAGGAGUAUGUAUUUGUCGUCUAACUGUUUAAAAAAAUGAGGAUGUUUGGUUAAGUUGUAAUGCUGGGAAUGCUCAAGAUUACUUAGCUCGCUACCUUAUAAAUGUUGAGAGUCUAGUAAUCAUGGCUGUACCUAUUUGUUUCUUGAGGUAUGAUAUGUAGUUUUCAACAGUAAGUUGUCAAGGUUCCUCCCUAAGUUUGGUUUAAGUGCGGCUGAGGUUUUUUUUUUUUCAAUUUAAAGUCUCAUGCUAGUAGUCUGGCAGUGAGUAUGAAUAAAAAAAAUAGUUCAAUAUCUGAGAUCUAAUUGAUCUAUGGUUAGAGAUAAGUAGAUAGCUGUUGGUGUGUAGCUCCUCUAGUUGAAAGAAAAGAUUAGUAAUCCUUCUGAACAAAUCUAGGAGUAGUAGUUGUAUUCAUUCAAGAGCUCGUUUGUGUGUUCUCUUUUCAAUUAAGUGAAGAUGAUGAGUUUAUUGAGUUGUUGUGCCUUGUAUUGAUCUUAAGAGUGCUUAAAUCAAGUUAGCUGAUUGUUUUUCAUAAAUGCUGAGGAAUGGUUGUUUUACCUCUCGUAAUCUUCGAACUUGUUAAAACUUAUUUCAUGUGCUAGUUAUGCUUAAAAGAAGUUAACUAGUAUGAAGCUGUACUACUCUCAUGUGGUUUGAUUAAGGUUUGAGGCUUUAUGAAUUAUUGUUUGAUUGUGUAUCCUUAUUUGUGAACACUUUCAUAAGGGAUCUGAAAAGGUUUGAGGGUGAUUAACUAGAACAUUGAAUUUGCAAGCUGUUUGUGUCAUAUUUUCAGAACAAAAGUUGAACUCUGUUUUCUCCUUCUUGUGUGAAAAGUGUAAAUGAACAGGUUACUCUACUUUUGCCAUAGCUUAAGUUGGUUUAACCAAUUUACUAAAGCAUGUAGUGUUACCUUCUUUACUGUCCCUUCCAGCUUUUGUGUUUCGUUCAACUAUGACUUUCUGAAAAAUUGCUUAUUAAAUUAUCGAGAUUAUGCUUCAUGAUCAGUUUGAGUCAAGAGUUAAUCUGCUAGUAAGCUCGUGAUGUGACUGGCUGUUUCACUCCUUUUGAUUUAAUCACGAGGGUUGGUUCCAGUUGCUUUCUCAUGCUAGUGUGUACCAAAUUGCUAUUUAGAUUUGUGUGUAAGACUGGUGAAACUUUUAAACAUAAAAGAAGGCUUUGGAUGUGAUCAUGGUUUAAAUGUUUGUGAGCUAAUUUUUUUUGAGACCACAUACUAGAUUUUUUGACGUAGGAGAUCUUAUGAUUUAACUAGAUUCUGGAAAUAAUUAGUAUUUUUGUGCCUUAUUUUAAUUACAACGUAUAGCAUUUGAUGUUAAUUAUUUCCAUCUAUGAUUAUUGGGAUAGUAACUCUAAUCCUUUUCUUUUCUUUCUUUUUACAUGAACACCAUGGGAGUUUGUUGGAGUUGUGGCUCAACUCUAAUUCUGCCCAGGUCAUAGGAGCAGUCAGCAGCAGAUUUAUUUGCUCGUGUCUAGCCGUCCCCUACUUUCGCGUCAAAAGAAUCCACGUCCCUCUUCCUCUCUUAAAAUUUUAUAUCUUUUGUAUUACUAUAUGUUAUUCGCACCCUUUGACUAACAUCUUUUAUGGGUUUGUACUUGUAGUAUUUUGUUUCUUGCUUGUUUGUGAACUCGUGAAUGGCCGAGCCUUGUCAUUGGCCACUUUUCCUUGGAUAUAAAUCUUGGUUUAAGGAUA